ensembl:lncRNA
CGUCAAUCUCAAAGGAGGCUGCGUGAACUCCUUGGCCCGAAGCUCCGGAGGAGAAAGAGCUCUCUAUUGCCUUUACUGAUGCUCACUGCUGGGAUAUCCCAUGCCGUUAGCUCCAGGUGGUGGCAAUACAGAGCAUCCUGAAAGAAAUGAUGGGUCCAAAUGUUCUCCUUGGACUUCCUUGGCGGUAUGGGAAGAUGCAGAUUGAGAUUCUCCCAAGCACAUAUAAAGGUUGGGCGGAGAAUGUCUUGAAAGCAGCCCUGAGGAGAAGGACUGGGGAGUGUCAGUUAGUGAAACAUUCAACAUGAGCCAGCAGUGUGCGCCUGCAGCCCAGAAGGCCAACCAUAUCCUGGGUUGCAUCAAGAGAAGUGUGACCAGCAGGUCGCGGGAGAUGAUUCUGCCCCUCUACUCUGCUCUCAUGAGAACCCACCAGGAGUACUGCAUCCAGUUCUGGGGCCCCCAGUACAAGAAGGACAUGGAGCCGUUGGAGGAGGUCCAGAGGAGGGCCACAAAGAUGAUUGGAGGGCCACAAAGAUAAUCAGAGGGCUGGAGCACCUCCCUUACGAGGACAGGCUGAGAGAGUUGGGGCUCUUCAGCCUGGAGAAGAGAAGGAUCCAACGAGACCAUAUAGCAGUCUUCCAGUACCUGAAGGGGCCUACAGGAAAGCUGAGGAGGGACUUUUUAUAAGGGCAGGUAGUGAUAGGACAAGGGGAAAUGGCUUUAAACUGGAAGAGAGUAGAUUUAGACUAGAUAUUAGGGAGAAAUUCUUUACUGUAAGAGUGGUGAGACAGUGGAACACGUGGCCCAGUGAGGUUGUGGAUGCCACCUCCCUGAAAGCAUUCAAGGCCAGACUGGAUGGGGCUUUGAGCAACCUGAUCUAGAGGGAGGUGUCCCUGCCUAUAGCAGGGGGUUGGAACUAGGUGAUCUUAAAUGUCGCUUCCAACCCAAAUCAUUCUAUGAUUCUGGAUGUAAACUUUCCCAGUGAGAGGACUUAUGCAGCACAUGUUAUAUGGGGAGGGAGAAGGCUGAGAAAAAAUUGCUCUCCUGUGACUUGUCUACCUCAUGAUGUGAGCAGCAACACUUUGUAACACCCCAAAUUCUGCUGAGGAUGCUGUGUACACUACUCUGCUCAAAAGGGGCUGUCUGUGCGAGGGGGCUAAAAGACGUGGGUCCUGGCAUGGCUCCUGCCUGAAUUAACGUAUGUGAGAGCAUAGCUGAACAUUUGCUACCCAGAGAGCGUGCAGCGCAGCGACUGCGUUUAUUAAACAUGUGUAUGCGUUACAGCCCAAGGCAAAAAUAUCCAUGCCUUCCCCAAAGAUCUCAUGGUGCUUCUGCGGACCAGAUGGUUCCAAUUUGAGGCCUACACUCGGUGAUGUAGCUGUAUUGAGUUUCUUCCCUGAAACCAACAAAACCUGCUUUAGCAUUUUGCUUGGAUUAAAAUAUUUGUCCCUUUUUUCACAGGGCAGAAGAGGGACUCCUGAAGCCACUGAAGGAAGGAAAUCAUUACAGGGUUCUACAGAAGUAGGUCAUGUGCUACAGCUGCUCAUAGUUUAAGAGGAAGAAACAUGGGACCUCAAACAUGGAACAUGACUCCUUCAAAAUGCUUGAGAGCAACCCAAGAAAAACAUCCUCAGAGGCUUAUUUAAUAAACAUUAUCUAUAAUAG